CCCCUUCCAUAAAGAAACCUUUAGCCUUUCAGAUGAAUAGACACGGAAACUGACAACCUACAUUUUCCCACAUCCUUCCUGACCAAACUUUAACAAAAUCCCAAGUACUCUGACUUCAGAAUGUCUUCUCUCCUUCCUCUCCAUGGUCUUCUUCACCUCUGCCUCCUCCUAGGGUCCCUUCUGAGAUGCUCUCCCUGAACACUGGGCCUCCCUGCCCCAUGUACAACCCCCCAGGGACCUCAGCAGCCUCUGAAUCUGCACUAACAAGGCAGGGGAGCUGGACCAGACUCUCUCUGGGGCUCUGAGGCUGGGGUAAGAAGGAGGGGUCUGGCUUGGGACUGGGGGUUCAAGGGAGGAGUCAGCACCCUCCAGCCAGCUCUGCAUGCCAUGUGGGUCCUUAAAGCCCUUUCUCUUCUCCCGUAGGAUGCUGCAGAACAAUCAGCUGGGAGGAAUCCCCGCAGAGGCGCUGUGGGAGCUGCCGAGCCUGCAGUCGCUGUGAGUCAUUAGAGGGCUGGUCUGGGAGUCACCAGCUUCCUGGGGCCUGAGUCACAGCCCAGGGCCCCCUGCCUCAGCUUUCCCUUCCCUCUGCAGGCGCCCCCUCUCCCAGUCCACGUUCCAGACAGCAUGCCGCUCCUGGCUUUGGUUUCUCGGGGUUUUCUGUUGUCAUCAGUGUGUGGACGUGUACACUCCUAUGCGUAUUUCAGGAAAAGAGUGCUCCCACGCCCCACUGGGGGACUGUGGGAAUGGGACCUCCCUAGGUGAGGCCACCAGGCCAGCGGUCCUGGGGCGACUGGUGUUCUGCCAUUGGAGCCUGGGUUUAGGGGUGUAGACUGCCGCCCAAAAGAAGCAUCAGGAAGGGGUUGUCUCCUCUACCUAGCCUGCUCUUUCCCCUGGGCUCUGUUGUGGGUGGGAAGCAGGCUAGGCUCAGAUACUCAUUUUCUCUACUUGGGGGUGGGACUGUCCACAGGGACUCACAGGCCACCCAUAACAGAUCCCUCCCUCCAAGGAGCCCCGUAGUUCCCUUCUUGUCCAGCAGGGGCAUCGUGGAAGCCAGACCCAGCCUGAGGGUGGAAGCGGGAGCAGAUGCUCCAGGGUGAUGUAACCCAGCCCAGGGGGAGCCGCUGGGCUUCAUCCACAUAAUGCACAGCCCAAGGCCUGGAACACAGUAGGUGCCUCAUACAUGCUUGAUGAACCUAACUUAAUUAUCAGGUACAACUUCAUCCGAUGGGAGAGUGAACAGAUAUUUUGGGAGAAGUCAAAGUUGGGGGGCAAGAUUGGGGCACAGCAGUUAGCUAGUGGGGGAAACUGAGUCAUAGCGGGCAUGCAGUGUGUCCGGACAAAGGCCUCUCAUAUUCUCAGACUUUGGCGCUGUUCAGUCUGUGGAUGUGGAAGUCAGACAACUUCUGACUUCUCCUUGGGUGGAAGGAGAAAUGAGGUGGGAAAAGGUGACUUUCCUUCUCAUGACUGAUAUUUAGGCCCCAUUCCACCUUACGCAGAGGGCCAGCUGUGGGGGUCCUGGCUAGCAGCUGUGCCACACCCCCCGUGGUGAGGGCUUUCCUCUCCUACUCCUUCCCUGGGUGCCCUCUACCCUCCUGCCUCUGUGUCUGGUCCCUGGCACCCCUCAGCUGCUCGAUCGAUCAGCCCCAGUGGCAGAACCUGCCUCCCUGCACUCUCUCAGCUUCUUCCCCCCCUUCCCAAUGAGUGCUGGGCGUCUGGCCCCAGCCCUCUCCUCUCCCUCCAUCCAGCCUCACCCUUGGACAGGGCCAGGCAACCCAGUGUGCCCCUAGAGGCCAACGUCGGAAGACCAGAGGCCAGGCAAGCCUGUGCUUGCUCCCCACCCACAGGGGCAGACUAAACAUUUGCCUAGGGCACCAGCGCAGCAGGGACAGCCAAAAAUAAGGGAGGAGGAGUGAGGAGAAUUUGACAUUUCAUCCACAGCCUCAAAGAGGACUUCAUAGGGGAAAAAAAUUAGACUUUCACUGGACUUCUUCACACUUUUAAGGUUGUUAAUUAAGUUUACUUUUUUUAAAAAAAUCGUGAAUCACAUAUUCUGAGUUCUUGGGGCUUCUAAAGGUCUUGCUUUCGGACUAGGCAUGGAGCUUUUGGGCAAUGCAGACAAUUUUCCCUAUACUUUCUGGGAAGUGGGCAGCCCUUGUGGCUGGGAGAACCAGACCAUUAGCUUCCACUUUCAGCCCCAUUAUUCUCCUUUGCCUGGGUAUAACAGGGCAGGGGACAGAGGUCAAGUCCCCCACUCCCCCAGUUAUAAGGCAGAUGAGAAGAUUUUGCUUUUUGCAAUCCUGCAAGAAGAGCACUGGCCUGUGUGACAGAAAAUGUGGCUUCAAGUCCUGGUUCUGAUCGUGACUACUGUGUCAUUUGCCCUCUCUGCACCUCAGUUUCUCUAUCUUCAAGGUGGGGAUAAUUAUCUUCCCUGCCUCACAGGGUGUUGGGAAGAUCAAAUAUAUAGUCAAUGUGAGGGGGAUUUGCAAAAAAAAAAAAAAAAAGACUUCACACAGCUAUAAUGUAUGAUGAUGUUAUUGUGAGAUUGUUCAUCUAACCAGUCAUUGAUCCUCCGCCGUUUUUUUGUUUUGUUUUGUUUUUGUUUUUGUUUUUGUUUUUUGAGAAAGGGUCUGGCUCUGUCACCCAGGCUGGAGUGCAGUGGUGCGAUCUCAGCUCACUGCAACCUCCACCUCCUAGGCUCAAGCCACCCCUCACCUUAGCCUCCUGAGUAGCUGGGACUAUAGGCGUGCACUACCACGCCCAACUAAUUUUUGUAUUUUUUUGUAGAGAUGGGGUUUUGGUUUUGCCAUGUUGUCCAGGCUGGUCUCGAACUCCUGAGCCAAAGCAAUCCACCUACCUCGGUCUCCCCUCCCACAGUUCUGGGAUUACAGGAGUAAGCCACUGUGCCCAGCCUGAUCCUUUUUUUUUUUUUUUAAGACAGAGUUUCGCUCUGUCGCCCAGGCUGGAGUGCAGUGGUGCGAUCUCAGCUCACUGCAACCUCUGCCUCCUGGGUUCAAGAGAUUCUCCUGCCUCAGCCUCCCAAGUAGCUGGUACUACAGGCGUGGGCUACCACGCCCGGCUAAUUUUUGUAUUUUUAGUAGAGACGGGGUUUCACCAUAUUGGCCAGGCUGGUCUCGAACUCCUGACCUCGUGAUUCACCUGCGUCGGCCUCCCAAAGUGCUGGGAUUACAGGCGUGAGCCAUGGGGCCCAGCUCUAUUUUUUUUUUUUUAAACAAAAAGAGGCGGGGAAUGACGUUUCAGACAGAGGGAACAGCACACGCUGCAAAGGCACAAAGUUAAGAAGGAAACUGAAAGGUUCUUGUAUCGGUUGGAAUCCCGAGAGCUCCCCAACAGCUAACACGAGGCGGUGUGUUUUAACAA
rnacentral:lncRNA from 1 species